rnacentral:rRNA from 1 species
CCUACGGGAGGCAGCAGUGGGGGAUAUUGCACAAUGGGGGGAACCCUGAUGCAGCGACGCCGCGUGGGCGAUGGAGUGCUUCGGCAUGUAAAGCCCUAUCAGCAGGGAAGAAAAUGACGGUACCUGACUAAGAAGCCCCGGCUAAAUACGUGCCAGCAGCCGCGGUAAUACGUAUGGGGCAAGCGUUAUCCGGAUUUACUGGGUGUAAAGGGAGCGUAGGCGGCCUGGCAAGCCUGAUGUGAAAUACCGGGGCCCAACCCCGGGGCUGCAUUGGGAACUGCCAGGCUGGAGUGCCGGAGAGGCAGGCGGAAUUCCUAGUGUAGCGGUGAAAUGCGUAGAUAUUAGGAGGAACACCAGUGGCGAAGGCGGCCUGCUGGACGGUGACUGACGCUGAGGCUCGAAAGCGUGGGGAGCAAACAGGAUUAGAUACCCCAGUAGU